UAUCUUUAUUUUAUGGAAACUUGGAAAGUAGGAUAACGUAGUAGAUUGGUUUCUUGGUUUGAGGUAGUUACCUAGUUUACUACAUUUUCUAUUUUAGAAUGUCUUUUUCUUUUCUUAUUUAUAUGCAUGUAAUGGAUAGAGAUUAUUAGAGAAAUAAAUGUAAACCAGUGGGGUGUU